CACGUAGGGGGCGAGCGUUGUCCGGAUUUAUUGGGCGUAAAGAGCGUGUAGGCGGCCUGACAGGUCUGCUGUGAAAACUCGAGCUCAACCUCGAGACGCCGGUGGAAACCAUCUAGCUAGAGUCCGGAAGAGGAGAGUGGAAUUCCUGGUGUAGCGGUGAAAUGCGCAGAUAUCAGGAAGAACACCCGUGGCGAAGGCGGCUCUCUGGUACGUGACUGACGCUGAGACGCGAAAGCGUGGGGAGCGAACAGG
rnacentral:rRNA from 1 species